CCUACGGGAGGCAGCAGUGAGGAAUAUUGGUCAAUGGACGAGAGUCUGAACCAGCCAAGUAGCGUGAAGGAUGACUGUCCUAUGGGUUGUAAACUUCUUUUAUAUGGGAAUAAAAUGUUCCACGUGUGGGAUUUUGUAUGUACCAUAUGAAUAAGGAUCGGCUAACUCCGUGCCAGCAGCCGCGGUAAUACGGAGGAUCCGAGCGUUAUCCGGAUUUAUUGGGUUUAAAGGGAGCGUAGGUGGAUUGUUAAGUCAGUUGUGAAAGUUUGCGGCUCAACCGUAAAAUUGCAGUUGAUACUGGCAGUCUUGAGUACAGUAGAGGUAGGCGGAAUUCGUGGUGUAGCGGUGAAAUGCUUAGAUAUCACGAAGAACUCCGAUUGCGAAGGCAGUUCACUGGACUGCAACUGACACUGAGGCUCGAAAGUGUGGGUAUCAAACAGGAUUAGAUACCCUAGUAGUC
rnacentral:rRNA from 1 species